UCAUGUAUAAAAGCAGGUGCAACCAGGUCACAGGCAGACAUUUUCCUCAAUUCUCACUCGAAAGCAUCAACACCCCAAAGAGAAGCCAUGAAGCCAGUGAUCGUGCUGUACGUUGCGCUGAUGAUGAUUGCACUGGUGUGCAAUGCUUAUGCUGCAUGUGAGAAUGGAUGGUGUACCAAGAGAUGUGGUCGUAAUGAAUAUAGAGACCGCAAUUCAUACUGUGGGGGUGGAAAUAUAUGCUGUGUUGAAAAAGGCAAUUGAAGAACAUCCGUGAAGGAAGACUGUGUGGAUCAACCAACAUGCAUUGUUGUUUUUUUUUCUUCUUCCAUUUAAGUUGACACAAGACAUGGAGUAAUCAUGAUUUGUGUUUAAGCCUGUUUGAUGCCAGUUUGAAUAAAAUUAAAUUUCAUAACUAUGA